rnacentral:rRNA from 1 species
GCUCAAAUUUGAAAUCUCAUAGGUUCCCUAUGCGAAUUGUAGUUUAGAGAAGCGUUUUCGGAGGCAGCACAGGCAUAAGUUCUUUGGAACGAGACAUCAUAGAGGGUGAGAAUCCCGUGUGUGGUCUGUUGCAUGUUUCUAUGUGAUACGUUUUCCAAGAGUCGGUUUGUUUGGGAAUGCAGACCAAAAUGGGUGGUAAAUACCAUCUAAAGCUAAAUAUUGGCGAGAGACCGAUAGCGAACAAGUACCGUGAGGGAAAGAUGAAAAGAACUUUGAAAAGAGAGUUAAACAGUACGUGAAAUUGUCAAAAGGGAACCGCUUGAAACCAGUAUUGUGUGCAGGGAAUCAACUGUCCACUGGGCAGUGCUCUUUCCUGUAUGCGGGUCAACAUCAGUUUGGACCAGGGUAGAAAGCUGGGAGAAUGUACCCACCUGUGGUGUUAUAGCUCCUAGUCAUGCUCUGGGCUGGACUGAGGACUGCAGCGCUUUUGGGCAACCUAUCGUCUCUUGACGGUCUUUUCAAGACAGCAUGCUGAUUUGGAGAGGUCUGAGAGGGUCCGGUGGGCUCGCCACACCAACGCUUAGGAUGUUGACGAAAUGGUUUUAAACGACCCGUCUUGAAACACGGACCAAGGAGUCUAACAAAUAUGCGAGUAUUUGGGUGCCAAACCCUUAUGCGUAAUGAAAGUAAACUUGGUGGGAUAUUUGCACCAUCGACCGGUCCGGAUAUUUUUGAAAGAUCUGAGUAAGAGCAUAUUUGCUGGGACCCGAAAGAUGGUGAACUAUGCCUGAAUAGGGUGAAGCCAGAGG